rnacentral:rRNA from 1 species
AUGGAGAAAAUGCGAGAUGUCAAAGUGCUGCUCGAGCCAGUUGCCGCCGUGCGGGAUGGGCUUGGUUUGUCUGAUAGAGAGCUGGCUGCAGAUUCAGCCGGCUCUGGGGUGGGAACAAGUAGCAUUUUGGGAGAACUGAAUCUGUGCACACCCUUUUCACAAGGAUCAGGUGUGUUUCCAGCGCCGUCCAAGAAACGAUCGGCUGGGCGUCCAACAACCAGCCGCGACAAGGCUCCAUAUGAACAACCAUCGAAGAGGAGCAAAUUCUGUUCUAUAUGUAGAAUUCAAGGGCACAAGAGCACAACAUGCCCUGCCAGAGGGGAUGUGCCAAAGGCACCUAGGAAAUCUCCGCGCUGCUCAAAAUGUGGGUGA